rnacentral:rRNA from 1 species
GGAAAAGGGGAGGGAGGGUGGGGUGUAAAACGGAGGAUGGUGAGGGUAACUGGAGUGAUGGGGUUUGAAGGGUGAGUAGGUGGAUGGAUAGGACAGGGGGGAAAGAGGUCAGGUGAACAGUAAAAUUGCCGUUGAAACUGUCUGUCGUGAGGGCAAAUGAGGGAGGGGGAAUGAGUCGUGUAGCGGUUGAAUGCUUAGAAAUGACGCAGAACUCCGAUUGCGAAGGCAGCUUACUGGGAUGCAACUGACACUGAGGCACGAAAGCGUGGGUAUCAAACAGGAUUAGAUACCCUAGUAGUC